UACGAAGGGUGCUAGCGUUGUUCGGAAUCACUGGGCGUAAAGCGCGCGUAGGCGGCUUAUCAAGUCAGGGGUGAAAUCCUUGGGCUUAACCCAAGAAUUGCCUUUGAAACUGAUAAGCUAGAGUACUGGAGGGGAUAGCGGAAUUGCUAAUGUAGCGGUGAAAUGCGUAGAUAUUAGCAGGAACACCGGUGGCGAAGGCGGCUAUCUGGACAGUAACUGACGCUGAGGCGCGAAAGCGUGGGGAUCAAACAGG
rnacentral:rRNA from 1 species